rnacentral:lncRNA from 1 species
CCAGCAUCAGGAGGCAAAUAAUCUUGUACACACAUCUAAAAGAAGACACUGGAGACAAGGAAGGCCCAGAGUGUUUUGGCCACACAGCUAGCAUGUAAUUGGAUGUGGAGGUUGACAAUGCUAAUGUACUCAAUGACAGGUGGUGAUGGAGACCCAUCUAUCCUGACCUGCUGAGUAGAUCAAAUCAAGGGAACUGCUGGUCCAUUUUCUGAGAGUGAUUCAGAGCCAAAAUUACAUUGCUGAAAAUUUUCAUCCAUCUUAUAGGAAGAUAAAUAAAUCUGUUUAGUGUAUGAAG